GAAACAUGCUAUUUCCCAUUGAAAGAGGAGGAGGAAGAUUCCUACUUGAAAAUAAGAUCUCACUCAAUGCUGAGGUCCUGAUUUUUCAAUCCAGGAUCACAGCCUCUUAUCAGGACCAGCAAGUUCCACAUGUGGAAUUUCCGAACCAUCAAGAACAGAGACUACAUCCAGAAGUAUCUGUUGCAAGAAUGUUAAAAACUGCAAACAUCAAGCAGCCAAAAAGACAGAAGAAAGUCUCAAACCUCUUCAAUUCAGACAUCUUGCACAUAUGUGCUAUGAUGCAAACUUUAACUACCUGAACAGGUCCUCCCCUUCCACCUAAAUGUUCACAUCUGAGACACUUUACAAGCAACAACAGUGCUUUGAGUGGCAACAAGAAUUAUAUCAUAAAUGAGCAACAGGGCUCACUGAUGGCACUGAAAAAGUUAGUUGUUAACGGGCAUGGAAGAAGUUAUUUUUUAGCAUCACUGCAAGAAGUGAUGAAAUGGAACAACAGAAUCAUGUAUGCUCUCUGUACUCAAUGCUGAAAGCAGCACUCAAAGCUAAUGCUAAGAUUUUAUUUAGUGCAGCUGGAACCUUAUCACCGUUUCUGCAAAGCUGUUAGAGGACAGUUUUGUUCUCAUCUAUAACCAAGGCUUAUAUUAUUAAAAUAUUGAAUUUUUUUUUCUUCCUGCUUAGCUUGGUUCUCCCUAAUGAAGCUUAACUACCAUUGAAAUUUGAUCCACUUUAUCACUGGAGGGAUUCUGUUCCCUAUGUAUCGCAAGUUCACAGAAACUUGAAAAUCCUGACCUAGCAUGCUGCAACAGAAGAAAUGAAUGACAAAACUAUUGUUUUCACAGCCCCAGUCCUACACACUGUGUGCCUGAAUAACACAGAUGCAAGCAAAUCUGCAUGCAGAUUUUACACAAGCACUUCCAAAACAGCUAGCAAAAAAUAAACAGAUAACGUAAAUAGACUGUGGUUCUCAUUUGACGUUGGAGAAGGCCUGCACACAUGGUUCUGGCAAGCCAAUGAAAACUACCUUGCAUUCAUGAAAUAUAAUUAACUCCUGGUUUAUGACUGGAAACAUGUGAACAACAGGUUCAAAGUGCUGAAGAUCUCCUACUUUAUGAGAGGCUACAUUGCCUCUUCAGGAUGUUUCGACAAAAGGUCAGUCAGACACGCCAAGCUUCAAAAGUCCAGGAAGAUUUGGGCAACCUCCUUCACAAUCAGAUACUGACAUCAGCCUUUUGUACAUUUACAACUGUUGUAUUUUAUGGGACUUUGCACACAAGAUACUCAGUUCAGUAUCAGACUUUUUUCUGACAUCUCUUACUAUGAGAACAAUAAACUGGUAUGAGGUUAAAUCAUUAAUGCAAGAAGAGGCAAGUACCUUAGAUUUUUUGGUCCUCUUGUCAUUCUCUUCAUCUUCAGAGUGGUGGUGCUUUUUCUUCUUUUGUUUUUUAGACGAGUGCAAAUGACUUGUUUCAGAUUCUUCUA